CCCGGACAUGCUGCUUGGCAGUGGCGACGCCCGGCGCGCUGGAACUCGGAACCUGGCUCCUGGGAGCAGAGACACUAGGACGCACGGAUGGCGGCAGCGGCGGCAGCAACUGCUGCCGGACUCCCGGGAAGGAGGUACAACUCGCAUCAAUAGGUUUGGUAACAAACACAAUGGACCUACCUCAAAAAAAUGGAGAACAUGGAUUAAAGUGGCCAGUCAGUGAAAAUAAAUGAUAUUGGGAGCACACAGGAGGGAUAUCCAGUUCAUCUUUGAAAGGAGGGGCAAUGCCAAGAGAGAUGUAUUUAGGUGCAGCAGUAAAGAAUAAAAUGCAGGAGAGACAACCAAGAUGGCACAG